GUCUACGGCCAUGCCACCCUGAACGUGUUCGAUCUUGUCUGAUCUUGGAAGCUAAGCAGGGUUGGGCCUGGUUAGUACUUGGAUGGGAGACCACCUAGGUGCUGUAGGUG
rnacentral:rRNA from 1 species